AAAGAACAAGUUCUCGACAAGUACUUUUCAAGCUUUUCAAACAUGUUCACAAUUGAAAAACUUUUGUAAACAAAAUUUUGUCUGGAGCCUAUUUGUGAAGUUCAUACACAUGGAAACUCUCCAGAAAAAGUAGGCAGAAAGACGUUUUGCAAGCUUGGUCCAUGCUCAUCCCCAGAUCUGGCCCACUCCAGAUCCUCGUCCUGAGGAACCUCUGCAGAUCUUAGUUUCCUUAUACCAGCUCCAUCAGUUGAAUCAAAAUUACAGUGCUGUGAGGACCAAGGUGAUGAAGAUUCUGCAGCCCCUUUUUAAACCGUAAAGUACUGUGACCAUUUUCUCUGCCAAGAUCAUCUUUGGAGAGCAAACACAGGAAGCAAGGAUUGACUGACCAGAAUUAAUCUGUGAUCUUGACCCUCUUUAAGAGUGGGAGUUUCCAAAACUGCAAUGUGAUUAUGAGUCAAAAAAGUGCUUAAGUUUAAAUGCUUCUUUUCACAUAUUCGCCAUUACCAUUUGUUCUCCAUAAAGGCAAAGUAGAUGAGGCGUGCCCAAGAGAAGAGGGCCGUGAGCUCAGAAGAACUUGUUUAUUCUUUGAAAAGUAUACCUUGAACAUGUUGACACAGUUUAAACACCAACUCCUCACUGUAAUAGAGGAAAUAAAACUUAUGGGAUUUUUCCUUACAGUGAGGACCACCCAGCCCCAUGGAGAACUCACUGCUCUCCCACCUCCAGCACUGUGUGCCUUCACUGGAGCAGACCUGUGAGGACAACCCAGCUUCAGGAGCACCUCUGCAUCAUCUUCCCCACACACACUCUCUCUUGGGACUCCUGGUUUUACUGGUACCUGGACCCACACUGCAGAGACACAAGUGCUCAUAAAGGCCAUUUUACUGAGCUCUGAAAGAUAGAACAGAAGUGAACAAUUGCCAUAAAAGUGCAUCAGACCUCCAUAGUUGGAGAGUUGGAGAGAUCACCACCU
rnacentral:lncRNA from 1 species